GAUGAACGCUGGCGGCGUGCCUAAUACAUGCAAGUCGAGCGAACGGACGAGAAGCCUGCUUCUCUGAUGUUAGCGGCGGACGGGUGAGUAACACGUGGAUAACCUACCUAUAAGACUGGGAUAACUUCGGGAAACCGGAGCUAAUACCGGAUAAUAUUUUGAACCGCAUGGUUCAAAAGUGAAAGACGGUCUUGCUGUCACUUAUAGCUGGAUCCGCGCUGCAUUAGCUAGUUGGUAAGGUAACGGCUUACCAAGGCAACGAUGCGUAGCCGACCUGAGAGGGUGAUCGGCCACACUGGAACGGAGACACGGUCCAGACUCCUACGGGAGGCAGCAGUAGGGAAUCUUCGGCAAUGGGCGAAAGCCUGACGGAGCAACGCCGCGUGAGUGAUGAAGGUCUUCGGAUCGUAAAACUCUGUUAUUAGGGAAGAACAGAUGUGUAAGUAGCUGUGCACAUCGUGACGGUACCUAAUCAAAAAGCAACGGCUAACUACGUG
rnacentral:rRNA from 1 species